GUUAAUAAUCUAUAGCAAAAAGCACACUAAGUUAACCUACAAAAGAAAAUAAGACUAUCCAUGAAAAUAAGCUCAACGCCAUUGCAAGUUAGCAGCUGCUCUUUUCAGCAAGAUUCCAAGUAAAGCUAUAUUUAGCUUAGAACUAGUGGCAAGUUUGCACAUCCAACAGUAUUACUUGUAAGGAACCUACAAUGACAUUCUGUCAUGACUUCAACCCAACAAAAUAGGAGAUCUCGGAAAGGGUGAAGUAGAAACAGGGAGAAGGGAGCAAGAAUCCCACGCCAUCUGUCCACUCACGAAGAUGUAAGUCGCUCUGUUGGUGAUCCUUUCAGGUACAUCUGGACCCUGACAUCAAAAGCAUGGACCUACACCUUUUUGAGGCACCUGGAAGUGAGAAAUGGUAGAACCUCAAGUUGCUCUGAAAGAAACCCUUUCCCGAAAAGCAACCCAAAAAUGCUAGCCAAGAAACUACAUCUCCUGUUAUGACUUAUGCGUAAUACAUAUACAAGCUGUUUGCGGCAGCACAUGCUAUGGAAUUUUCCGUCGGAUGCCAUGCCAGAUGAAGCAGUUUUGUCGUAAAAUCAAAUGAGUUUCCAUUUGCAUCAACACCGGCAUUAUCAGCUCCUCUCCUGACAACACGUGUUAAACUGCUGCCCAAGGACCUGGAUGGCCUUGAAGGAGUCUGGACUUGUCUUCUCAUAGGAUUUUUGCUUGCUUCCAAGGUAGUUGCUUCAGUGCUCCCCGCAGCACAGCCAAAUACGCGGAAAAGAUUGCUAUACGACCCCGUUGCUACUCGCGAACCAUCACCACUAAGGCAACACUCAAAUUUAUCAAAGAUGGAAUCAUUCUCAUAUAAGUCACAAAGCUUUGGUCUUAAAUAUUCAUGAACCUGGAAUGUUGAAACUGGACCUGAAUCCA
rnacentral:misc_RNA from 1 species